GUAGGAUAAGCUAAGCACACUGUUGGUUAUGUGUGCCCAAGCAUUGAGGCAGUCAGAGUAGGUAAAUCCGCUUUGAUAAUGCUGGGAUGUGAUGGGGAGCGAAAUUUAGUAGCGAAGUAGCUGAUUUCACACUGUCAAGAAAAGUCUCUAUCGAGGUUAAAGGUACCCGUACCGCAAACCGACACAGGUGGGUGAGGAGAGUAUCCUAAGGCCCGCGAGAGAACUGUUGUUAAGGAACUCGGCAAAAUGACCCCGUAACGUAGGGAUAAGGGGUGCCACCAUCCGGUGGCCGCAGAGAAUAGGCCCAAGCGACUGUUUACCAAAAACAUAGGUUUCUGCUAAGUCGCAAGACGAUGUAUAGGAGCUGACGCCUGCCCGGUGCUGGAAGGUUAAGGGGAUCUGUUAGAGCAAUCGAAG
rnacentral:rRNA from 1 species